AUUGAACGCUGGCGGCAUGCCUUACACAUGCAAGUCGAACGGUAACGGGCCUUCGGGUGCCGACGAGUGGCGAACGGGUGAGUAAUGCAUCGGAACGUACCUUUCAGUGGGGGAUAACGUAGCGAAAGUUACGCUAAUACCGCAUAUUCUGUGAGCAGGAAAGCAGGGGAUCGCAAGACCUUGCGCUGAUUGAGCGGCCGAUGUCAGAUUAGCUAGUUGGGGAGGUAAAGGCUAACCAAGGCGGCGAUCUGUAGCGGGUCUGAGAGGAUGAUCCGCCACACUGGAACUGAGACACGGUCCAGACUCCUACGGGAGGCAGCAGUGGGGAAUUUUGGACAACGGGGGCAACCCUGAUCCAGCCAUGCCGCGUGAGUGAAGAAGGCCUUCGGGUUGUAAAGCUCUUUCGGCCGGGAAGAAAUCGUAUGGGCUAAUACCCUGUGCGGAUGACGGUACCGGCAUAAGAAGCACCGGCUAACUACGUGCCAGCAGCCGCAGUAAAAC
rnacentral:rRNA from 1 species